AGUGAACGCUGGCGGUAGGCCUAACACAUGCAAGUCGAACGGCAGCACAGGAGAGCUUGCUCUCUGGGUGGCGAGUGGCGGACGGGUGAGGAAUACAUCGGAAUCUACUCUGUCGUGGGGGAUAACGUAGGGAAACUUACGCUAAUACCGCAUACGACCUACGGGUGAAAGCAGGGGACCUUCGGGCCUUGCGCGAUUGAAUGAGCCGAUGUCGGAUGAGCUAGUUGGCGGGGUAAAGGCCCACCAAGGCGACGAUCCGUAGCUGGUCUGAGAGGAUGAUCAGCUACACUGGAACUGAGACACGGUCCAGACUCCUACGGGAGGCAGCAGUGGGGAAUAUUGGACAAUGGGCGCAAGCCUGAUCCAGCCAUACCGCGUGGGUGAAGAAGGCUUUCGGGUUGUAAAGCCCUUUUGUUGGGAAAGGAAUCCAGCUGGCUAAUACCCGGUUGGGAUGACGGUACCCAAAGAAUAAGCACCGGCUAACUUCGUGCCAGCCGCCGCCGUAA
rnacentral:rRNA from 1 species